UGAAAAGAGCCCGAUGUAUGAGAAAUAUAGUUGAUUAUAUUAUAAUCAACUAUAUUUCUCAUACAUCGGGCUCUUUUCA
rnacentral:pre_miRNA from 1 species